CUACGGGAGGCUCCAGUGGGGAAUAUUGCACAAUGGAGGAAACUCUGAUGCAGCAACGCCGCGUGGAGGAUGACACUUUUCGGAGCGUAAACUCCUUUUAUAUGGGAAGAAGAUGACGGUACUAUAUGAAUAAGCGCCGGCUAACUCCGUGCCAGCAGCCGCGGUAAUACGGAGGGCGCAAGCGUUACUCGGAAUCACUGGGCGUAAAGAGCGUGUAGGCGGAUUAAAAAGUCAGAAGUGAAAUCCUAUAGCUUAACUAUAGAACUGCUUCUGAAACUCUUAAUCUAGAAUAUGGGAGAGGUAGAUGGAAUUUCUGGUGUAGGGGUAAAAUCCGUAGAGAUCAGAAGGAAUACCGAUUGCGAAGGCGAUCUACUAGAACAUUAUUGACGCUGAGACGCGAAAGCGUGGGGAACAAACAGGAUUAGAUACCCGGGUAGUC
rnacentral:rRNA from 1 species